CAGAGUUAGGGUUAUUUCAGGCCCGACCUCCAACCCUAUGCGUACCUACCUUUGUUGCUUUGGCGGGCCCGUUGGGGUGACCCACCGGUGGCCUUUCGGCUUCCGAGUGCCUGUCAGAGACCCAUUCAGAACCCGUUAAUUGUGCCGUAUGAGUACCAACAUAAUAAUUA
rnacentral:rRNA from 1 species